AAAUCUAUAGCUCAAUUGGUUAGAGCAAUCAGCAAUAUGUCUGAUGUGUUAAAGGUUCGAGUCCUUUUGGAUUUU
rnacentral:tRNA from 1 species